GAUGAACGCUGGCGGCGUGCCUAAUACAUGCCAGUCGAGCGAACAGAUGAGGAGCUUGCUCCUCUGACGUUAGCGGCGGACGGGUGAGUAACGCGUGGAUAACCUACCUAUAAGACUGGGAUAACUUCGGGAAACCGGAGCUAAUACCGGAUAAUAUAUUGAACCGCAUGGUUCAAUAGUGAAAGACGGUUUUGCUGUCACUUAUAGAUGGAUCCGCGCCGCAUUAGCUAGUUGGUAAGGUAACGGCUUACCAAGGCAACGAUGCGUAGCCGACCUGAGAGGGUGAUCGGCCACACUGGAACUGAGACACGGUCCAGACUCCUACGGGAGGCAGCAGUAGGGAAUCUUCCGCAAUGGGCGAAAGCCUGACGGAGCAACGCCGCGUGAGUGAUGAAGGUCUUCGGAUCGUAAAACUCUGUUAUUAGGGAAGAACAAAUGUGUAAGUAACUAUGCACGUCUUGACGGUACCUAAUCAGAAAGCCACGGCUAACUACGUG
rnacentral:rRNA from 1 species